rnacentral:lncRNA from 1 species
CCCCCUCGGCUGCCUGCCGGGCUGCGCACCUGGGCGCGCGGCGCUGGAAGCCUCGCGGGUCGCCGCGCCAUGGCCUUCACCUUCGCCGCCUUCUGCUACAUGCUGGCCCUCGUGCUGUGCGCCGCGCUCAUCUUCUUCGCCAUCUGGCACCGACCACCUUUGAGUGCAUUUGUCACGCUUGGAAGGAGCAGAAUAACACUGCGUUUCUCACCGGUGGCUCCGCACACCUUCUGUGCCUGGGCUCUUACCUCCAUGUGGCAAUUUGGUCCUCAGAACGGAUGUUUUUCAGAAGAGGAAGUUGCGGAUCACAGAGGUUAUAACACGAGCACAGCAGCACAGCGCCUGGCAUGUGAGACUCCCGCCCCAGCCCC